UUUCCGUAAGUGAACCUGCGGAAGGAUCAUUAUUGGAUUUUGAAACUUCAGGCUGCUGCUGGCUCUCCUCUGAGGGCAUGUGCACGCUUGUUGUCCAUUAUUUCUCCCACUGUGCACAAAUUGUAGACCUUUCAGUAGGCCUAUGUUGUUUUUCACAAUCUCUGAAUGUAAUAGACUGGUUUUGAAUCUUGGGAAAUACAAUACAACUUUCAGCAACGGAUCUCUUGGCUCUC
rnacentral:misc_RNA from 1 species